rnacentral:rRNA from 1 species
AUGCACACCGUCAACCUCAAGUCGCGCGCCGCCUUGGCGGCGGCCGCCGCGUGCUUCGCGUUCCUCGCGGCGGCGGCGCUGCUCCACCGCAGGCGUCGCCGAGGUAUAUCGCCCACCUCGCCUCGCCGCGUCGAGGAGCGGCGCUCCCGCCGCGCGCGCCGUGCCUGCGAAGAGGAGGAGAAGCCGCAGGGCCGGUUCAAGCGCGUGCUCGCGGAUAACUCCUACUCCCCCUUCAAGCACCUCCGACGUCAGGGUGCCGACCAGGCUGUUGACGGCCACCCCGACGAGGCCAAGCCGCAACCGCAAGAAUCAUCAGAAAAGAUGCACCCAUUUGAGGAUGAAAUUACGUCCUUACUGGACAACCCAACCAGAUAUUCAACUUUUUGUAACUUCACACCAAGCAGCCAAUGCCCAGAACUGAGAAACUCAUACAAUUGGGUCAAUACAAAAGCUCAAUUGGAGCAUCUGGCUGGAUUGUUGGGCGAGGAAAAAGCUUUCGGUGUUGAUACAGAGCAACAUAGCUUUCGGUCAUUCCUAGGAUAUACUGCACUUGUGCAGAUAUCUACCCAGAAGGAAGACUAUUUGAUAGACACAAUUGCGCUACAUGAUGUGAUGGGUAUUCUACAACCAGUUUUUGCCAGUCCGUUCAUCUGUAAGAUCUUCCACGGAGCUGACAAUGACAUUCUUUGGCUUCAGAGAGAUUUCCAUAUUUAUGUUGUGAAUAUGUUUGAUACUGCCAAAGCAUGUGAGGUCCUAUCAAAGCCACAGAAAUCCUUAGCAUAUUUGCUAGAAUUGUAUUGUGGAGUGACCACCGACAAGACAUUGCAGCGUGAAGACUGGAGAUUACGCCCGCUGACAGCGGAAAUGAUUGAGUAUGCCCGUUGUGAUGCUCACUAUCUGUUGAACAUUUCAAAUUGUUUGGCAUCAGAGCUCCAUGCAAAAUCCUGUGAUUCUCCCGAUGGUAAAAUCAAUUUUUUCUUGGAGGCUAGCCGUCGGUCAAACAUGGUGUGCAUGCAACUAUAUACAAAGGAAAUUGAAUGUCGUCCAGGAGCUUCCUCUGCAGCAUCUAUUCUCUCACGAAAUGUACAAACUCAUGGACUUGAUUCCAAGAAAUCUAGUGAAGUGAAGGAUCUUGUUCGGAAAAUUUGCGCAUGGAGGGAUUUAAUGGCUCGCAUGCAUGAUGAAAGCUUGCGGUAUAUCCUGUCAGACCAGGCUAUUGCUGCCCUUGCUGUAAGAGUUCCAAAAGGUCGAACGGAGAUGUGUGCUGUCAUAGCAGAAACUGAGCCAAGUGCUUCAACUAUGCAUCCUUCCUUGUCGUCACCAUCCCCUGUAGUUGUCGCUCACAUUGAAGAACUCUGCUAUCUAAUUGAGGAUACCACUGUCAGCAUGGAUAACUUAUUUACAACUUUGCUUGGGAAGUAUAAAGAACCAAGUGGGUUAUGUCGACUAUCAGUUUAUAAUUAUAACCUUGUAUCGCAGCUAAGUUUGAAGCAAACAAAUAUAUUUGCUUUUGCAUCAAGUGGAGAAAAGUUGUCGACAACAUCACCUAACAAAAAGGCUUCCCGGGAAUCAUUCAUUAAAAAGUUUUCAUGCAAGUCCCCAGUUUAUCACAAUUGCAGGAUCUACGCUAGUGAUGAAAGACUACUUUGCUACUGUGACCGCAAAAAGUUGGAAUGGUAUAUUCAACGGGAUUUGGCAAAGUUAGUAGAAGACAAUCCUCCGGGAAUCAUGCUGCUGUUUGAACCUAAGGGUCGUCCCGAGGAUGAAGAUAAUGAAUUUUAUAUUCAGAGCAAGAAAAAUAUCUGCGUUGGAUGUGGAGAAAAGAGCCACUAUAUCAGAUAUAGAAUAAUACCAUCUUGCUACAGGAUGCACUUUCCGGAGCAUCUGAAGAGCCAUCGUUCACAUGAUAUUGUACUUCUUUGUGUGGAUUGCCAUGAAAUUGCUCAUUCAGCUGCUGAGAAAUACAAGAGGCGACUAGCAGAAGAAUUGGGAAUACCCCUUUUUGUACAAAAAAUAGUGAACUCGGGUGAUAGAAGUUUAAUAACCGAUGCAUCAGUAUCUGAAGAUAAAUUGAAUGAAAAGGGUGUGUCCCCUUUGCUGCUGAGGACUGCUGCAAUGGCCCUUCUGCGGCAUGGAUCCACUAUGCCUUCGAAAAGAUGUGAAGAGCUAAUGCAGAUUGUGAAGUCAUACUACGGUGGUAGGGACGUGACUUCCGAAGACCUGGAGAUGGCAUUACUUGUAGGUAUGAGCCCCAAUGAGCGAAGGAGACUUGAAAAGAAAAAAGGGUAUCCUCAUUCUUUUAGAGCUCAGACUGAAAACAUUAUAAGAAAGAGCAGCAACAAGGCCAUCUUAGAAGACAUGGGAGAUGAUUCAAAAAAUAGGCAUACUUUAUCAGAGCAAGUUUCAGAAGAUGGGAACGGGAGUAGCGGUCAACAAGAUGCUGACGGGACUGGGUGUAAUAGCCAGGCAGAAGAUUUAACUGUGAGCCAAAGAAGCGCAAGUUUGUCAGUCAGUAUGGAUGAUUCUACUUGUGACCCUAACACGGAGAAGCUUGGGUCAGAUGGAAUGCAGCGAUCAAGCAGCGGAACUCAGGCAAAUGGCCAUCUCGACGAGGAUCCAGUCAGCAGUGAUAAUUCCAGCCAAGCUAUUUCCAAAAAUGCUGACAAGAAGAUAUCACUGCUAGGACACGGGCACCACGGUAAACAAGUGGUCGAGCUUUUGCUGGCCAAUGGUGGGGAGGAGGCCGUUCACCAGUUUUGCCAAAGAUGGAGGCAUGUUUUCGUCGAAGCUGUCCACCCUCGUUAUCUACCUUCUGGUUGGAAUAUAAAGCACAGAGCAUCUUCUGUGCAGUGGAAGAAGGGAUUUCGGCGACUUCAGUGUGUACAAACCAUCCAACCAAGAGCCUCAGCCUGCUGA